UAUGACGGGAGUUAUUAUUAUUGGUACCACAAAGAGUUUGGUCCCGGCACAGUGCUCAGAGUUACAGAUAAAAGUCCUGAUGAAGACACUUCCCCCAAGCCCACAAUUUUUCUUCCUUCAGAGGAUGAAAGAAAACUCCAUAAGACUGGAACAUAUCUUUGUCUUCUUGAGGACUUUUUCUCUGAUGUUAUCAAUAUAGAUUGGAAAGAAAAGAAUGGCAAAACAGUUCUGAAAUCACAGCAGGGAGACACCAUGAAGAUGAAGGACACAUACAUGAAAUACACCUGGCUGACCGUGAGUGAAGAGUCAAUGGAUAAAGAACACCAAUGUAUCGUCACACACGAGAAGAAUAAAGGAGGGGUUGACCAAGAGAUUCUUUUUCCUUCAACAGGCAAAGCAGAUUUGGUGACAGAAUCCAAAGCGGGCUUCCAGACAGAAUCAGAGAGAAGUACAAACACAAGGACCGUAACCCCGAGCCCUUUGAGUACACUGUCUUCUUCACCGUUUUCAAGUGCUGCAGACCCUACCAGAAGGAAGACAACUGAAAACAGUUAUUCCACUGGGACACAGGAUGCCAGCUCUCCAGUGACAGACACCACUCCCUCUCCAGAAACCCUGAGGCUGCAGGCCAUGAACACCUCUGCCUACUACACCUACAUCCUCCUCCUGCUCAAGAGUGUCAUCUACUCCAUCAUUAUCACCUAUUUUCUGCUGGGAAGACCAGCACUCUGUGACUUGAAGGGUUUCGCACCAUGGGUCCACUUUUCUUCAUUGGCUAUUGUCACUAAAAGAUCUACUGAGGAUAUAGAAAACCUUCCUUUCUGAGUGGGUUAUUUCGGUUCAUGUGUGUCUUAUUCCAUUGUGUCAUUGCAAAAUGGGUUUACAAACCACUGGGCAAACAGAAAAUGUCACUCUGCACCAAGAACAAAUUCUGUCAUGACUUUGGGGCGGGGUGGGUGGAGGUAUCCAUGGGGGGUCCGCGCCGCUCUCUCCUUACUGUCUAUCUGCUUCUCAGCCACCCAACACCCUGGCCUCUGAGCACAGCCAGCUUGCAGCUUCCCUAGCAUCCCUUGGGGCUCUUUAUCCAGAUAACUGCCUGGAGCCCUUUGUUUUAUACACCUGCAGGCCAUCCUCCUUGCUACCUGAAUUUUGUGCUGUUUUUCAUAAU